rnacentral:rRNA from 1 species
GAUCCUGCGGGAGAUUACUGCUAUUAGGAUUCGACUAAGCCAUGCAAGUCAAGGGGCUCUUCGGAGCACCGGCAGACUGCUCAGUAACACGUCGAUAAUCUAACCUUUGAUCAGGAAUAGCCUCGGAAAACUGAGGGUAAAUCCGGAUAGAAGAUUUAUUCUGGAAUGAUUUAUCUUUGAAACGUAGGGUCAAAGGAUGAGUCGGCGGCUGAUUAGGUUGUUGGUGGGGUAAUGGCCCACCAAGCCGAAGAUCAGUAGGGGCCCUGAGAGGGGUAGCCCCGAGAAGGGCACUGAGAUACCGGCCCUAGCCCUACGGGGUGCAGCAGGCGCGAAACCUUUACAAUGCACGAAAGUGUGAUAAGGGAAUCCUAAGUGCUCAUGAAUUUCAUGGGCUUUUGCUAAGAGUAAAUACCUUGGCGAAUAAGUGGUGGGAAAGACUGGUGCCAGCCGCCGCGGUAACACCAGCGCCACAAGUGGGAAUCAUGUUUAUUGGGCCUAAAGCGUCCGUAGCCGGUUCAGUAAAUCUUUUGUGAAAUCGUAGGGCUUAACCCUACGGCAUGCAGAAGAGACUGCUGAACUAGAGACCGGGAGGAGUCAGAAGUAUUCAGGGGGGAGCGGUAAAAUGCAAUAAUCCUCUGAGGACUACCUGUGCGAAGGCGUCUGACCAGAACGGUUCUGACGGUGAGGGACGAAGGCCAGGGGAGCGAUCCGGAUUAGAUACCCGAGUAGUCCUGGCAGUAAACUCUGCGAGCUAGGUGUUUCAUAUUCUCAGGGAAUAUGAAGUGUCGAAGCGAAGGCGUUAAGCUCGCCGCCUGGGAAGUAUGGUCGCAAGACUGAAACUUAAAGGAAUUGGCGGGGGAGCACUACAAGGGGUGCGGCGUGCGGUUUAAUCUAACUCAACGCAGAAAAUCUCACCAGAAGCGACGGCAGUAUGAAAGUCAGAUUGAAGGUCUUACUUGACGAGCCGAGAGGUAGUGCAUGGCCGUCGUCAGCUCGUGCCGUGAGGUGUCCUCUUAAGUGAGGUAACGAGCGAGACCUGUACCUACAAUUGCCAGCGAAUUCAUCGAAUGAUCGGGCACAUUGUAGGAACUGCCCUGGAAACAGGGAGGAAGGUGCAGGCUACGGUAGGUCUGUAUGCUCCGAAUCUUCUGGGCAACACGCGCGCAACAAUGGUAUGGACAAUGGGAUGCCACUCCGAAAGGAGAAGCUAAACCUCGAAACCAUAUCCAAGUACAGAUUGAGGCUUGUAACUCAGCCUCAUAACGAUGGAAUCCCUAGUAAUCGGACGUCACCAUCGUCCGGUGAAUGUGUCCCUGCUCCUUGCACACACCGCCCGUCAAACCAACCGAGCAGGGUUUAGAUGAGUCCCGACCUUUUAGUCUGGCCGAAUCUAAGCUCAGUGAGGUGGGUUAAGUCGUCACAAGGUA